GAGCUCGUAGGCGGCUUGUUGCGUCGGCUGUGAAAACCCGCAGCUCAACUGUGGGCCCCUUGCAGCCGAUACGGGCAGGCUUGAGUUCGGUAGGGGAGACUGGAAUUCCUGGUGUAGCGGUGAAAUGCGCAGAUAUCAGGAGGAACACCGGUGGCGAAGGCGGGUCUCUGGGCCGAUACUGACGCUGAGGAGCGAAAGCGUGGGGAGCGAACAGGAUUAGAUACCCUGGU
rnacentral:rRNA from 1 species